AACCUUCNAACUCUGAAUGUUAGUGUCGUCUGANUACUAUAUAAUAGUUAAAACUUUCAACAACGGAUCUCUUGGUUCUGGCAUCGAUGAAGAACGCAGCGAAAUGCGAUAAGUAAUGUGAAUUGCAGAAUUCAGUGAAUCAUCGAAUCUUUGAACGCACAUUGCGCCCCUUGGUAUUCCGGGGGGCAUGCCUGUUCGAGCGUCAUUUCAACCCUCAAGCUUUGCUUGGUAUUGGGCCCUGCUGGCAACGGCAGGCCUUAAAAACAGUGGCGGUGCCUUUAGGUCCUGAGCGUAGUACAUUUCUCGCUAUAGGUCCCUGAAGGUUACUGGCCAGCAACCCCAAUUUUUCUAUGGUUGACCUCGGAUCAGGUAGGGAUACCCGCUGAACUUAAGCAUAUCAAUAAGCGGAGGAA
rnacentral:rRNA from 1 species